UACGGAGGGGGCUAGCGUUGUUCGGAAUUACUGGGCGUAAAGCGCGCGUAGGCGGCUUUGUAAGUUAGAGGUGAAAGCCCGGAGCUCAACUCCGGAAUUGCCUUUAAGACUGCAUAGCUAGAAUCAUGGAGAGGUGAGUGGAAUUCCGAGUGUAGAGGUGAAAUUCGUAGAUAUUCGCAAGAACACCAGUGGCGAAGGCGGCUCACUGGCCCGAUACUGACGCUGAGGCACGAAAGCGUGGGGAGCAAACAGGG
rnacentral:rRNA from 1 species